rnacentral:rRNA from 1 species
UACAGAGGGGGCAAGCGUUAUUCGGAAUUAUUGGGCGUAAAGGGCGCGUAGGCGGCUUUGCAAGUGGCGGGUGAAAUCCCUCGGCUUAACCGAGGAACUGCCUGUCAAACUGCAUGGCUUGAGACCGGGAGAGGUGAGUGGAAUUCCCAGUGUAGCGGUGAAAUUCGUAGAUAUUGGGAGGAACACCAGUGGCGAAGGCGGCUCACUGGACCGGUACUGACGCUGAUGCGCGAAAGCGUGGGGAGCAAACAGG